UAAGCGGAGGAAAAGAAACUAACAAGGAUUCCCCUAGUAACUGCGAGUGAAGCGGGAAAAGCUCAAAUUUAAAAUCUGGCGGUCUUUGGCCGUCCGAGUCGUAAUUUAGAGAAGCGUCUUCCGCGCUGGACCGUGCACAAGUCUCCUGGAAUGGAGCGUCAUAGAGGGUGAGAAUCCCGUCUUUGGCACGGAUGCCUGGUGCUUCUGUGAUGCGCUCUCGAAGAGUCGAGUUGUUUGGGAAUGCAGCUCAAAAUGGGUGGUGAACUCCAUCUAAAGCUAAAUAUUGGCGAGAGACCGAUAGCGAGCAAGUACCGUGAGGGAAAGAUGAAAGGCACUUUGGAAAGAGAGUGAAACAGUACGUGAAAUUGUUGAAAGGGAAACGCUUGAAGUCAGUCGCGUCGACCGAGACUCAGCCUUGCCUUGGCUUGGUGUACUUCUCGGCCCGACGGGUCAGCAUCAAUUUUGCCCCUCGGAUAAUGGCAAGGGAAAGGUGGCACCUUUACGGGUGUGUUAUAGUCUCCUGUCGAAUGCGAGGGGUGGGAUUGAGGAACUCAGCGCGCACCUCAGUGUCGGGGCUUCGGCCCACGUCACGCGCUUAGGAUGCUGGCGUAAUGGCUUUAAACGACC
rnacentral:rRNA from 1 species